AAUCCUUUAACGAGGAUCUAUUGGAGGGCAAGUCUGGUGCCAGCAGCCGCGGUAAUUCCAGCUCCAAUAGCGUAUAUUAAAGUUGCUGCGUUUAAAAAGCUCGUAGUUGGAUCUCAGUCUCGAUCGAGCGGUUCACCGUCUGGUGAUACUGUUUGAAUCGGACAUUCCGCCGCAUUUCUCAUCAUGCUCUUCACUGAGUGUGGUGGGAGAGUGGUACGUUUACUUUGAAAAAAUUAGAGUGCUCAAAGCAGGCCGCCGCCUGAAUAGUCGUGCAUGGAAUGAUGGAAUAGGGCCUCGGUUCUAUUUUGUUGGUUUCCGGAACUCGAGGUAAUGAUUAAUAGGGACGGACGGGGGCAUUUGUAUUGCGACGUUAGAGGUGAAAUUCUUAGAUCGUCGCAAGACAGACUACUGCGAAAGCAUUUGCCAAGAAUGUUUUCAUUAAUCAAGAACGAAAGUCAGAGGUUCGAAGGCGAUCAGAUACCGCCCUAGUUCUGACCAUAAACGAUGCCGACUGGCGAUCCGCCGUUGUUAAUUCCAAUGACUCGGCGGGCAGCUUCCGGGAAACCAAAGUUUUUGAGUUCCGGGGGAAGUAUGGUUGCAAAGCUGGAACUUAAAGGAAUUGACGGAAGAGCACCACCAGGAGUGGAGCCUGUGGCUUAAUUUGACCCAACACGGGAAACCUCACCAGGCCCGGACACCAGAAGGAUUGACAGAUUGACAGCUCUUUCUUGAUUUGGUGGGUGGUGGUGCAUGGCCGUUCUUAGUUGGUGGAGUGAUUUGUCUGGUUAAUUCCGAUAACGAACGAGACCCCGGCCUGCUUACUAGACCGCGGAUCCUUUCGUCCGUGCUGUCUUCUUAGAGGGACAACUGGCUAUACGAAAUAGCUACAUGAAAUGGAGCAAUAACAGGUCUGUGAUGCCCUUAGAUGUUCUGGGCCGCACACGCGCUACACUGAAGGGAUCAUCGUGUUCAUCCUAGGCUGAAAAGUCCGGGAAACCCGCUGAAUUCUCUUCGUGCUAGGGAUUGAGGCUUGCAAUUGUUUCUCAUGAACGAGGAAUUCCCAGUAAGCGUGAGUCAUCAGCUCGCGCUGAUUACGUCCCUGCUCUUUGUACACACCGCCCGUCGCUACUACCGAUUGAAUGAUUUAGUGAGAUAUUUGGACUGGGUAUUGCAGGCGCUUCGGCAUUUGCUUUAUCCGGAAAGAAAAUCGAACUGAAUCCUUUAGAGGAAGUAAAAGUCGUA
rnacentral:rRNA from 1 species